rnacentral:rRNA from 1 species
GUGGGGAAUCUUAGACAAUGGGCGCAAGCCUGAUCUAGCCAUGCCGCGUGAGCGAUGAAGGCCUUAGGGUUGUAAAGCUCUUUCAGGGGGGAAGAUAAUGACGGUACCCCCAGAAGAAGCCCCGGCUAACUCCGUGCCAGCAGCCGCGGUAAUACGGAGGGGGCUAGCGUUGUUCGGAAUUACUGGGCGUAAAGCGCACGUAGGCGGACCAGAAAGUCAGGGGUGAAAUCCCGGGGCUCAACCCCGGAACUGCCUUUGAAACUCCUGGUCUUGAGGUCGAGAGAGGUGAGUGGAAUUCCGAGUGUAGAGGUGAAAUUCGUAGAUAUUCGGAGGAACACCAGUGGCGAAGGCGGCUCACUGGCUCGAUACUGACGCUGAGGUGCGAAAGCGUGGGGAGCAAACAGGAUUAGAUACCCCAGUAGUCC